rnacentral:rRNA from 1 species
UACGGGGGGAGCAAGCGUUGUUCGGAUUUACUGGGCGUAAAGGGCGGGUAGGCGGCCACCGCAAGUCGACUGUGAAAUCUCCGGGCUUAACCCGGAAAGGUCAGCCGAUACUGCGGGGCUAGAGUGCAGAAGGGGCAACUGGAAUUCUCGGUGUAGCGGUGAAAUGCGUAGAUAUCGAGAGGAACACCUGCGGCGAAGGCGGGUUGCUGGGCUGACACUGAGGCGCGACAGCGUGGGGAGCAA